rnacentral:rRNA from 1 species
AGUGAACGCUGGCGGUAGGCCUAACACAUGCAAGUCGAACGGCAGCACAGUAAGAGCUUGCUCUUACGGGUGGCGAGUGGCGGACGGGUGCGGAAUACAUCGGAAUCUACUUUUUCGUGGGGGCUAACGUAGGGACACUUACGCUAAUACCGCAUACGACCUACGGGUGAAAUCAGGGGAUCUUCGGACCUUGCGCGAUUGUAUGAGCCGAUGUCGGAUUAGCUAGUUGGCGGGGUAAAGGCCCACCAAGGCGACGAUCCGUAGCUGGUCUGAGAGGAUGAUCAGCCACACUGGAACUGAGACACGGUCCAGACUCCUACGGGAGGCAGCAGUGGGGAAUAUUGGACAAUGGGCGCAAGCCUGAUCCAGCCAUACCGCGUGGGUGAAGAAGGCCUUCGGGUUGUAAAGCCCUUUUGUUGGGAAAGAAAAGCAGCAGGUUAAUACCCCGCUGUUCUGACGGUACCAAAAGAAUAAGCACCGGCUAACUUCGUG